rnacentral:rRNA from 1 species
CCUACGGGAGGCAGCAGUGGGGAAUAUUGGACAAUGGGCGCAAGCCUGACCCAGCAACGCCGCGUGAAGGAAGAAGGCUUUCGGGUUGUAAACUUCUUUUCUCAGGGACGAAGAAAGUGACGGUACCGGAGGAAUAAACGACGGAUAACUACGUGCCAGCAGCCGCGGUAAGACGUUGGUGGCAAGCGUUAUCCGGAUUUAUUGGGUGUAAAGGGCGUGUAGGCGGGAGCGUAAGUCAGAUGUGAAAACCUCGGGCUCAACCCUGGGGCUGCAUUUGAAACUGUGUGUCUUGAGUGCUGGAGAGGCAAUCGGAAUUCCGGGUGUAGCGGUGAAAUGCGUAGAGAUACGGAGGAACACCAGUGGCGAAGGCGGAUCGCUGGACAGUAACUGACGCUGAGGCGCGAAAGCGUGGGGAGCAAACAGGAUUAGAUACCCUGGUAGUC